GAUAGAAAGAAGUAGUCUUAUGAGAUUUGAGAGGUUAAAUCCAAAAGUCUGUGGUCACAGCAGUGUGAUCGAUAGAAAAGAAUUUUUAUAAAGAUCACAAUUAGAUUUGAACUGAUCGAAUCUAUCAUAUGACUGAUGAUGAGGUUUGACGAUUUAUCCAUGACCUGUCAUCCAGUCGAGACUCACCAUAGAGGAAUUGAAUCACACGUGAACUACAUCUUGAGAUUUUUUUUUGAUUCUACUGGAUU
rnacentral:lncRNA from 1 species